rnacentral:rRNA from 1 species
GGAGGCGCUCAAAGGUUCCCUCAGAAUGGUUGGAAAUCAUUCAUAGAGUGUAAAGGCAUAAGGGAGCUUGACUGCGAGACCUACAAGUCGAGCAUCUGGAAAGAUGAAUCAAAGAAGGUAAUAAUCCUGUAGUCGAAAAUGUUGUCUCUCUUGAGUGGAUCCUGAGUACGACGGAGCACGUGAAAUUCCGUCGGAAUCUGGGAGGACCAUCUCCUAAGGCUAAAUACUCUCUAGUGACCGAUAGUGAACCAGUACCGUGAGGGAAAGGUGAAAAGCACCCCGGAAGGGGAGUGAAAUAGAACCUGAAACCGUGUGCUUACAAGUAGUCAGAGCCCGUUAAUGGGUGAUGGCGUGCCUUUUGUAGAAUGAACCGGCGAGUUACGAUUUGAUGCAAGGUUAAGCAGUAAAUGUGGAGCCGUAGCGAAAGCGAGUCUGAAUAGGGCGUUUAGUAUUUGGUCGUAGACCCGAAACCAGGUGAUCUACCCUUGGUCAGGUUGAAGUUCAGGUAACACUGAAUGGAGGACCGAACCGACUUACGUUGAAAAGUGAGCGGAUGAACUGAGGGUAGCGGAGAAAUUCCAAUCGAACCUGGAGAUAGCUGGUUCUCUCCGAAAUAGCUUUAGGGCUAGCCUCAAGUGAUGAUUAUUGGAGGUAGAGCACUGUUUGGACGAGGGGCCCCUCUCGGGUUACCGAAUUCAGACAAACUCCGAAUGCCAAUUAAUUUAACUUGGGAGUCAGAACAUGGGUGAUAAGGUCCGUGUUCGAAAGGGAAACAGCCCAGACCACCAGCUAAGGUCCCAAAAUAUAUGUUAAGUGGAAAAGGAUGUGGCGUUGCCCAGACAACUAGGAUGUUGGCUUAGAAGCAGCCAUCAUUUAAAGAGUGCGUAAUAGCUCACUAGUCGAGUGACACUGCGCCGAAAAUGUACCGGGGCUAAACAUAUUACCGAAGCUGUGGAUUGUCCUUUGGACAAUGGUAGGAGAGCGUUCUAAGGGCGUUGAAGCAUGAUCGUAAGGACAUGUGGAGCGCUUAGAAGUGAGAAUGCCGGUGUGAGUAGCGAAAGACGGGUGAGAAUCCCGUCCACCGAUUGACUAAGGUUUCCAGAGGAAGGCUCGUCCGCUCUGGGUUAGUCGGGUCCUAAGCUGAGGCCGACAGGCGUAGGCGAUGGAUAACAGGUUGAUAUUCCUGUACCACCUAUAAUCGUUUUAAUCGAUGGGGGGACGCAGUAGGAUAGGCGAAGCGUGCGAUUGGAUUGCACGUCUAAGCAGUAAGGCUGAGUAUUAGGCAAAUCCGGUACUCGUUAAGGCUGAGCUGUGAUGGGGAGAAGACAUUGUGUCUUCGAGUCGUUGAUUUCACACUGCCGAGAAAAGCCUCUAGAUAGAAAAUAGGUGCCCGUACCGCAAACCGACACAGGUAGUCAAGAUGAGAAUUCUAAGGUGAGCGAGCGAACUCUCGUUAAGGAACUCGGCAAAAUGACCCCGUAACUUCGGGAGAAGGGGUGCUCUUUAGGGUUAACGCCCAGAAGAGCCGCAGUGAAUAGGCCCAAGCGACUGUUUAUCAAAAACACAGGUCUCUGCUAAACCGUAAGGUGAUGUAUAGGGGCUGACGCCUGCCCGGUGCUGGAAGGUUAAGAGGAGUGGUUAGCUUCUGCGAAGCUACGAAUCGAAGCCCCAGUAAACGGCGGCCGUAACUAUAACGGUCCUAAGGUAGCGAAAUUCCUUGUCGGGUAAGUUCCGACCCGCACGAAAGGCGUAACGAUUUGGGCACUGUCUCAACGAGAGACUCGGUGAAAUCAUAGUACCUGUGAAGAUGCAGGUUACCCGCGACAGGACGGAAAGACCCCGUGGAGCUUUACUGUAGCCUGAUAUUGAAAUUCGGCACAGCUUGUACAGGAUAGGUAGGAGCCUUUGAAACGUGAGCGCUAGCUUACGUGGAGGCGCUGGUGGGAUACUACCCUAGCUGUGUUGGCUUUCUAACCCGCACCACUUAUCGUGGUGGGAGACAGUGUCAGGCGGGCAGUUUGACUGGGGCGGUCGCCUCCUAAAAGGUAACGGAGGCGCUCAAAGGUUCCCUCAGAAUGGUUGGAAAUCAUUCAUAGAGUGUAAAGGCAUAAGGGAGCUUGACUGCGAGACCUACAAGUCGAGCAGGGUCGAAAGACGGACUUAGUGAUCCGGUGGUUCCGCAUGGAAGGGCCAUCGCUCAACGGAUAAAAGCUACCCCGGGGAUAACAGGCUUAUCUCCCCCAAGAGUUCACAUCGACGGGGAGGUUUGGCACCUCGAUGUCGGCUCAUCGCAUCCUGGGGCUGUAGUCGGUCCCAAGGGUUGGGCUGUUCGCCCAUUAAAGCGGUACGCGAGCUGGGUUCAGAACGUCGUGAGACAGUUCGGUCCCUAUCCGUCGUGGGCGUAGGAAAUUUGAGAGGAGCUGUCCUUAGUACGAGAGGACCGGGAUGGACAUACCUCUGGUGUACCAGUUGUCGUGCCAACGGCAUAGCUGGGUAGCUAUGUGUGGACGGGAUAAGUGCUGAAAGCAUCUAAGCAUGAAGCCCCCCUCAAGAUGAGAUUUCCCAACUUCGGUUAUAAGAUCCCUCAAAGAUGAUGAGGUUAAUAGGUUCGAGGUGGAAGCAUGGUGACAUGUGGAGCUGACGAAUACUAAUCGAUCGAAGACUUAAUCAA